UGCCAGCAGCCGCGGUAAUACAGAGGGUGUAAACGUUGUUCGGAAUUACUGGGCGUAAAGCGCGUGUAGGCUGCUUAACAAGUCGGGCGUGAAAUCCCGGGGCUCAACCUCGGACGUGCGUUCGAAACUGUUAAGCUAGAAUCUCGGAGAGGGUAGCGGAAUGCUGGGUGUAGAGGUGAAAUUCGUAGAUAUCCAGAGGAACACCGGUGGCGAAGGCGGCUACCUGGACGAGUAUUGACGCUGAGGAACGAAAGCGUGGGGAGCAAACAGGAUUAGAUA
rnacentral:rRNA from 1 species